rnacentral:rRNA from 1 species
GACGAACGCUGGCGGCGUGCUUAACACAUGCAAGUCGAACGGAAAGGCCUCUUUCGGGGGGUACUCGAGUGGCGAACGGGUGAGUAACACGUGAGUAACCUGCCCUUGACUUUGGGAUAACUUCAGGAAACUGGGGCUAAUACCGGAUAGGAGCUCCUGCUGCAUGGCGGGGGUUGGAAAGUUUCGGCGGUUGGGGAUGGACUCGCGGCUUAUCAGCUUGUUGGUGGGGUAGUGGCUUACCAAGGCUUUGACGGGUAGCCGGCCUGAGAGGGUGACCGGCCACAUUGGGACUGAGAUACGGCCCAGACUCCUACGGGAGGCAGCAGUGGGGAAUAUUGCACAAUGGGUGGAAGCCUGAUGCAGCAACGCCGUGUGCGGGAUGUCGGCCUUCGGGUUGUAAACCGCUUUCGCUCAUGACGAAGCUUUGUGUGACGGUAGUGGGUAAAGAAGCACCGGCUAACUACGUG